rnacentral:rRNA from 1 species
UGGGGAAUAUUGGGCAAUGGGCGCAAGCCUGACCCAGCAACGCCGCGUGAGGGAAGAAGGCUUUCGGGUUGUAAACCUCUGUCCUUGGUGACGAAACAAAUGACGGUAGCCAAGGAGGAAGCCCCGGCUAACUACGUGCCAGCAGCCGCGGUAAUACGUAGGGGGCGAGCGUUGUCCGGAAUUACUGGGCGUAAAGGGUGCGUAGGUGGCCUUUUAAGUUGGAUGUGAAAUACCCGGGCUUAACCUGGGGGGUGCAUCUAAUACUGGGAGGGUAGAGUGCGGGAGAGGGAAGCGGAAUUCGUAGUGUAGCGGUGAAAUGCGUAGAUAUUAGGAGGAGCACCAGUGGCGAAGGCGGCUUUCUGGACUGUAACUGACACUGAGGCACGAAAGCGUGGGGAGCA